GGGAAGGUCUUCCGCUGCUUUAGUGUAUGUAGUGAAUGCAAACACAACAGCGUGCGUUCUGGGAAUUACGACGUUCUAAGAGUGAAAUAGUGAUUAUUUUCUGACUGUUCCCUCUUCGUCGAUACACUUGCUGGAAUUUUGGAUUAUUUCUCUCGGAAAUAUUUUGCGGGAUUAAUUUGUGAGAAGGUACUCAGCCAGUUGGAAGGAAGAAUUCAGCCCACACCACCUCCAUCUCGGAACCAUUCAGAAUCUUGUUCUGAUUUGGAUUUCUACUCAAUCUCCUGGUCUGGAUGUUCACUCUGUACCGGUUUGGCUCAUCGAAUCCCACCGCCUUUGUUGGAUGAUUCAGAAGCUGAGCCAGUAUUAAGAGCCGUCCUCCCCUCAGCAGCCUCCACUGCUCUACAGUACUCAAGCCAAGGUACAGGACAUUGAUCCCCUGACGGGAACACAAUGAGAACGUCGUUAAACACCAGGUUGGGUUAUCG
ensembl:lncRNA